rnacentral:rRNA from 1 species
UACGUAGGGGGCUAGCGUUGUCCGGAAUUACUGGGCGUAAAGGGCGUGUAGGCGGCCAACUAAGUCCGACGUGAAAUCCCCAGGCUUAACCUGGGAACUGCGUGUGAUACUGGAUGGCUUGGAUUUGGGAGAGGGAUGCGGAAUUCCAGGUGUAGCGGUGGAAAUGCGUAGAUAUCUGGAGGAACACCGGUGGCGAAGGCGGCAUCCUGGACCAAUAUUGACGCUGAGGAGCGAAAGCCAGGGAGCAAACGGG